GAGGAGGGGCGCUAGCCCAAUCAGAUGGCCCGGGAAGCUCCAGCUCGUACUCUGGAGGAACUCCAUACUGAAUCCUUAUCAGUGAGAGUUCAUCCGGAGUCAAGAAGCCAGGGAUGGUGUCUGGUGCAAAGGCCGGACAAGGUUCGAUCCUAGCUACGGGUUCAUCUACGUUACCAGUACUAUAGGGAAUUGGGGCUGACAAACUCCUAGAACUACUAGAAGAGGAG
rnacentral:lncRNA from 1 species